AAAUGAUUUAAAAGUCACAACAACAAAAAGUCGCAUGGAUCAACUCCGUAUGCUAGCAAAUAUCUAUUGAUAUUGGCAUAGUCCAGAUGCCCAGUCGCUGGCUAAGCGAACAGUUUCAACAUUUAUUGUGAUUGUGAAAAACGUUGAAAGAAAUCGUGUUGUUUUUUUUCUGAAAUUUUUUUGGUGGAUUUUUUUUUUCAAAGAACGUAAAGAG